UACGUAGGGGGCAAGCGUUGUCCGGAUUUAUUGGGCGUAAAGAGCGUGUAGGCGGCUUUACAGGUCCGCUGUGAAAACUCGAGGCUCAACCUCGAGACGUCGGCGGAAACCAUCUGGCUAGAGUCCGGAAGAGGAGAGUGGAAUUCCUGGUGUAGCGGUGAAAUGCGCAGAUAUCAGGAAGAACACCCGUGGCGAAGGCGGCUCUCUGGGACGGUACUGACGCUGAGACGCGAAAGCGUGGGGAGCGAACAGG
rnacentral:rRNA from 1 species